rnacentral:misc_RNA from 1 species
GACGGAGGGGGCUAGCGUUGUUCGGAAUGACUGGGCGUAAAGGGCGCGUAGGCGGUUCAUUAAGUGAGGCGUGAAAGCCCUGGGCUUAACCCAGGAAUUGCGCUUCAGACUGGAAAACUGGAGUACGAGAGAGGAAAGUGGAAUUCCUAGUGUAGAGGUGAAAUUCGUAGAUAUUAGGAAGAACACCGGUGGCGAAGGCGGCUUUCUGGCUCGUAACUGACGCUGAGGCGCGAAAGCGUGGGGAGCAAACAGG